CCGGCGAACGGGUGCGUAACACGUGAGCAACCUACCGAAGUGUGGGGGAUAGCCGGUCUAACGGCCGAGUAAUACCGCAUACGAUUCCGAAGAGGCAUUUCUUUGGAAUGAAACCUACGGGGUACUUCGAGGGGCUCGCGGCCUAUCAGCUAGUUGGUGAGGUAACGGCUCACCAAGGCAACGACGGGUAGCUGGUCUGAGAGGAUGGCCAGCCACAUUGGGACUGAGAAACGGCCCAG
rnacentral:rRNA from 1 species